rnacentral:lncRNA from 1 species
CAAUGUUUCCAACCCUUUCUGAUGAGUCAUCAUCUAUGGAGGGGUGGCCAGAGGGGCUGGUGGAUCAACCAAAUAGAGCAAGAAAAUAGAAACAAACGAAAGAACCCCCAUAAAAUGGACCACCCUGCAAGCUAAGAGGACCCAAAUACUGGGCAAUCUCAACCUAAGACAAAUAAAAUGUUUCCCGAGAAUCCACAGAUGACAUAUACUGCACCAUCAGAGGGCAGAGGCUGCUCCGAUAUCACGCAGCAUCAAGAGCGGUAUGUUCUCCCAUGGGGAAGGGGUGUGUGCACAGGCACAUGUUGGAUUCUUUUUGGGGCUUGUUGUUUUGUGUAUUUUGUUGUUGUUGAGCCUAAAAUAAAUGGCUGGGAACAGAACAGUGGGGUUUUAAACGCAGUUAGAGGAACAUAGCAGGGAAGAUGCAGUAUGCCAGGCUGGUGGAGGAGCAAGAUUUUCUAAAGACGGGGAGGGACUAGAUGACCUUUCAGAGCCCUCCAGUCUGAAGAUCUUAGGAUUCCACGCACGUCUUCUGUCUAGACAUGAAGUGCUGAUGCUCCUGCUUUUACUGCUGGAAAGUGGGGAAAAGUCUAAGUGCUCCACCUACAGUCUGAUCCUAGAAACUACUCAGCCUCAGCCAGGAAAAAGAAAACAAAACCAACAAAACGGGAGAAAAAAACCCACUGGGAAGAAUGCGAUUUCAGAGUCUACCACAAAGAAUAUUCCCCCGAAAUUAUACUUCUUUAGUCCAGGCUUUCAAAGCGACUGUAAUUUUAAUGUCUGUGUUUUGCACAGUUAUCAGUAUUCAUUCAUAUAUCUAAGGUCUAAUGUGUAAGGCCAUUUCAUGAGAAAAGGAAGAGAGAGAAAAUUUGGCUCUUCCUUUGACAAGUGAGGAACGCAGACCUGGAGCGGUCAGUCAGCUGUCCAUGGUUGUACAGGGCCCCACUGUGUUCUGACUGCCGAUAAGACAGAGAUGUGAAGAUUUCUAUACUUUUGAGACUGACGCAACAUUGCAGUGCUGUCGUCAAACGUUCUAUUUCAAAUUCUUUCUACAUUAUAUUCCAGGCCACUCAAACACACCUGGUCCCUCUUCUGGCCUCCUCGCCUUCCUAACUUCUGUCCUUAUAACCUUCCUCCCAAUUCUGUACCUUUCCAGAUCUUGUCAGGCUCAGGUCACAGCAGGCCUGCUAUUCUUUUUCAAACACACCGAAUACUCUUCUCUCAGAUACCCACCUGGCUUGCUCUUUCUUUUCAUUCAGGUCUCUGCUCAAAUGUCACCUCCUCGGAGACGGCUUCCUGAGCUACCUUAUCUAAAACACCACCCGAUGAGUUCUUCAUUCAUU